ensembl:lncRNA
CCCGGUGUAGUUCAAGUCCAGUGUCAUUAUCUCUUGGCCAUCAGAGGAAGGGAGCAUGAGUCAUGACUGAAGAGCAUUUGCUUGGUUCAUUUAUGUUGUGAUGGUUUAUGUUGUGAUGGUUUAUGUAAUGACUUAUGAGCCAAGACUUAAGAGCAUUGCUUGGUUCAUUUAUGUUGUGAUGGUUUAUGUAAUGACUUAUGAGCCAAGACUUAAGAGCAUUGCUUGGUUCAUUUAUGUUGUGAUGGUUUAUGUUGUGAUGGUUUAUGUAAUGACUUAUGAGCCAAGACUUAAGAGCAUUCGCUUGGUUCAUUUAUGUUGUGAUGGUUUAUGUAAUGACUUAUGAGCCAAGACUUAAGAGCAUUUGCUUGGUUCAUUUAUGUUGUGAUGGUUUCUGUUUUGAUCGUUUCAAUGUGCCAACCUUGUUUCCGAGCCGUGACAGCGAUUGAGCAUGAGACAAGGCUUAACAGCGACUCCAAGGCUUAUUGACGGGCUGUUCGGGCCCAUCUGAAUAGAGUCCUGAAUAUAUUCCUUUAAUCCUUUAAUACCCAAACAAUAAUUAGAGUUCUGUAACAGAGAGAUAUUUCAUUUCCAAUACCCUGUAAUGUAUAAUACUUAAGUAAUGUCAGAAAUGUCUAGCU